AACAGAGUAGAAGGUGCUGCGUUAAGUGUCGCAAGGAUGGGAUGUUGCCUGCGAACGAAAGCGUAAGCUGCGGUAGCCCUUCGCAUUCGCUGAU
rnacentral:ncRNA from 1 species